UACGUAGGGGGCGAGCGUUGUCCGGAUUUAUUGGGCGUAAAGAGCGUGUAGGCGGUUCGGUAAGUCUGUUGUGAAAUCCUGAGGCUCAACCUCGGACGUGCGAUGGAUACUGCCGGGCUAGAGGAUGGUAGAGGCGAGUGGAAUUCCCGGUGUAGCGGUGAAAUGCGCAGAUAUCGGGAGGAACACCAGUGGCGAAGGCGGCUCACUGGCCCGGUACUGACGCUGAGGUGCGAAAGCGUGGGGAGCAAACAGG
rnacentral:rRNA from 1 species